rnacentral:rRNA from 1 species
GACGAACGCUGGCGGCGUGCUUAACACAUGCAAGUCGAGCGGUAAGGCCUCUUCGGGGGUACACGAGCGGCGAACGGGUGAGUAACACGUGGGUGACCUGCCCUCAGCUCUGGGAUAAGCCUGGGAAACUGGGUCUAAUACCGGAUAUGACCUUUCCUCGCAUGGGGUUUGGUGGAAAGUUUUUUCGGCUGGGGAUGGGCCCGCGGCCUAUCAGCUUGUUGGUGGGGUGAUGGCCUACCAAGGCGACGACGGGUAGCCGGCCUGAGAGGGCGACCGGCCACACUGGGACUGAGACACGGCCCAGACUCCUACGGGAGGCAGCAGUGGGGAAUAUUGCGCAAUAGGCGGAAGCCUGACGCAGCGACGCCGCGUGGGGGAUGACGGCAUUCGGGUUGUAAACCUCUUUAGACCCCGACGAAUUUGGACGGUAGGGGUAGAAGAAGCACCGGCCAACUACGUG